GAAAAUUCUGUUUCAUACAUUUAUAUCAAAUCUUGAACACAUACGCUUAACGAAAUUUCUAACACCUUCAUUGUUAAAUAGAUGAGGAGUUAUCAUCUUCAUAACCAAAGGAUAUUCUAUAUAUAAUAACUAUGCUUAUAACAAAACCAAAAUGACCAAUUAUUUUUUGUAUGAAUAUAAGUUACAAAAUGAGAAUUUGUUCUUAAUCAAAUGGAUCUAUUCGAAGGUCAUGUUCACUUGCCAUCACCAUCCCAGUACACAGACAUGUAGGGCACAUUACCU
rnacentral:misc_RNA from 1 species